GACGAACGCUGGCGGCGUGCUUAACACAUGCAAGUCGAACGGAAAGGCCCUGCUUUUGUGGGGUGCUCGAGUGGCGAACGGGUGAGUAACACGUGAGUAACCUGCCCUUGACUUUGGGAUAACUUCAGGAAACUGGGGCUAAUACCGGAUAGGAGCUCCUGCUGCAUGGUGGGGGUUGGAAAGUUUCGGCGGUUGGGGAUGGACUCGCGGCUUAUCAGCUUGUUGGUGGGGUAGUGGCUUACCAAGGCUUUGACGGGUAGCCGGCCUGAGAGGGUGACCGGCCUCAUUGGAACUAAGUUCCGGCCCGGACGCCUACGGAAGACAGCAGUGGGGAAUAUUGCACAAUGGGCGGAAGCCUGAUGCAGCAACGCCGCGUGCGGGAUGACGGCCUUCGGGUUGUAAACCGCUUUCGCCUGUGACGAAGCGUGAGUGACGGUAAUGGGUAAAGAAGCACCGGCUAACUACGUG
rnacentral:rRNA from 1 species